CAGUGAUAUCCACCUGCAUGUUCCAGAUGAUGUAACACACCAUGGGAUGCACAACCAUCAAGGAUUGGCAGUAGAAUUUAUUGAAGAGGACAAGUACCUGAAUGCUGUGAUUGCUGAUAGUUGCAGAGAAAGAGGAGCAGAUCCAGCCGGUUGCUGCUGCUGCUGCUGCUGCUGAUGAUGAUGCUGAUGAUGAUGAAGAAGAUGGAACUGCCCACUUCCACCAGCACCAACUCCUCCCCUUCCCUGACCCAUCUGCAGAUAGAAUUGGCCCAAGGCCUGAGGAUUCAACGCCCCGAUAUGCCCCUCCUGCGAGAGGCCGAGCUCCAGCCCUGGCAGCUGCUGGCCAUGCCCGCUCAACAUCGACGCAAAGCUCACCGCUCCCGGAUUCCCGCCGGUCAAUUCGAACCCAUGCAAGCCGAUCCUCUGCAUGAAGCUGCUCACCGAGUCUCCGCCUCCGGCCGAAAGAUUCGAGCUCGAGGGAACGGUGGCGGUGGCAUGCAAGAAUCCGGAGUUGAACCCACCCACCAGGGGCGGCCACAGGCCAGGAUGGGAGCAUCCGAGGUUAGCGGCCCCCGUCACGGCCCAGCCAGGCCUGGCGGCGGUUCCCGCCUCCUGUCCCAACUCGUCGAGCUUCUGGUGGAGGCCGGCGGGCGCGGUGGCGCCCGGGAGGGACAUGGAUGCGGCGGCGGCGGCGGCAGCGAGAGCUGACGCGGGGAUGGUGCCCGUGCCGGUGGCGGCGAUGAUGGAGGGCUCCGCUUGAUGGAGGAGCCACUGGAUGGUCUCCCCAUCGGACUUGUGGCCCAAUUCUCGGGUGAGCUGAAAGAUCCUGGCGGCACAAAGGGCAGGCAUCCUUAUCCUCCUUCCCCUGCCGUCGACCUUGGUGUGCCUGUCCUUGUUGGAGCUCCUCUUGGGUGCAAGCUGCCUCCUUUGCUCAUCCUUAGCCGCUGCGGAAAGCAAAAGGUCUCUGCUUUCUGCUGCUGCUGCUGCUGCGGCCGAUGAGGAGGUGAUGGGUUCUCUUUUGUCCGACUGCGGAAGGCCCUCCUGGUGAAGCUUGGAGGAGCCCUUGGGAUCCAUGAAAGGGAGGAGGUGGGAGAAGAGGGAAAGGUGGAAUUUUGGGGCCUCGAAUCGUGAGAUGGAGGAGAGAGAGGAGAGGUAACGAGUGAGGAACUAUGCUCCCAUGAGACCUCAGAAGGAUUCUGCCACUGACUGGCGAAUCAGUCUGCGGUUGAAACUUGAAAUAGCUUUUGGAACUGAAGAAAGGAGAGAGAAGAGAGAGAGAGAGAGAGAGAGAGAGAGAAAGAGCGUUGGGCCAACAGCAUAAAGAAGAAGAUGGCAGGUGAAAACCAAGAUACCUACUUCCCCAAAUGUUCUACAUGAUGCAAGGGGUGGUGAAAAUGGAGAAGAGAGCAGGUGUGGUAAAAGAAAGACCAAGAUAUCGUUGGUCUUCGUUGAUGCUGGCAAGUGAAAGAAAGGUUUUACUUC